GGGAGGCUAUAAACAGGAGGGGAUUCAGCUCUUUGAAAGGGUAGAUAACAGUAGGACAAGGGGAAAUGGUCUUAAGUUGAAGGAGGGAAGAUUUAGAUUGGAUGUCAGGGGAAGAUCUUUACUAUGAGAGUGGUAAGGUGUUCAAACAAGUUGCCCAGAGAGGUUGUGGAUGCCCUGUCCCUGGAGGUGUUCAAGGCUGGGUUGGAUGGGCCCUGGGCAGCCCGGCUUAGUAUUAAAUGUGGAGGUUGCUGGCCGUGCCUGUGGCAGAGGGGUUGGAGAUUCAUGAUCUUUGAGGUCCCUUCCAGCCCGGGCCAGUCUGUGAUUCUGUGAUUCUGUCAUGAUGCAAAGGUGUGUCUCUGAAUUCCUCCAUGCAGAAAAAAAUAGCAUCCACUGAAAUCCAUCAGUGCUUGCUGAACAUUUCUGGAGACCAAACAGUGUAUAUGAACACAGUGAGGUGGUGGAUGGUGUGCUUCGGCAAUAGUUAUGUGAAAGACAAAUCAUGUUCAGGAUGGCCAUGCAGUGCUAUCACACCACAAAAUGAAGAGGAUCUUGAUCAGCUUGUCUUUGCAAAUUGGUGUAUUAUAGUAAAGGAUCUGUUUAUGGAGCUGAAUAUUGGCUGCAAUAUACUGGAAACAAUGGUGGCAACGUUGGAGUAUGGCUAAGUUUGUGUGGGUCCCACAAAUACUCACAGGAACAGGAAGAAAACUGUAGUUAUGUUUGUCAGGACCUACUAAAUUAAUAUGAGGUUGUUUCCUUGAUUACCAGCGAUGAGACAUGGUAACACCACUACGAGAUAGAGUCAAAAUGACAGUCCAUGGAAUGGCAACAUGUGAAUCCCCUGUUGAAGAUAAAGUUUAAGAAACAGCCUUCAGAGGGUAAAGUUACAUACACUGUCUUUUGAGAUAGGAGAGGGGUGAUCCUUCUGGAUUUUCUGGAAUGCAGAUAGAGGAUCAGCUCUAAAUGCUACAUUGUAAUGCUGACUAAGUUCAAGGCUCAAACUUCCAGAGGCAGGACAGAGCAGAAAACUUUUCUUCUCUUGCUGCAUGAUAAUGCCAGGCCCCGUACCAGUUUGAAGACUGUGGAGCACGCUGCAAGUCUUGUCUGGACUGUCCUACCACACCCACCACGUAGUCCAGAUUUGGUGCCUUCUGACUUCCAACUGUUCAGGCUGAUUAAAGCUGAACUGCAUAGGCAACAUUUUCUUAAUUAUGGUGUCAUCAUAAAAGUGGGUCACCUCUGCUGGUGCAGAUUUUUAAAAGAAUGGCGUGAAGAUUCUUUAUCAUUGCUGGUCAAAAUGCAUAGCUGAUGGUGAU
ensembl:lncRNA